rnacentral:rRNA from 1 species
GACGAACGCUGGCGGCGUGCCUAAUACAUGCAAGUAGAACGCACAGUUUAUACCGUAGCUUGCUACACCAUAGACUGUGAGUUGCGAACGGGUGAGUAACGCGUAGGUAACCUGCCUGGUAGCGGGGGAUAACUAUUGGAAACGAUAGCUAAUACCGCAUAAUAUUAAUUAUUGCAUGAUAAUUAAUUGAAAGGUGCAAUUGCACCACUACCAGAUGGACCUGCGUUGUAUUAGCUAGUAGGUGAGGUAACGGCUCACCUAGGCGACGAUACAUAGCCGACCUGAGAGGGUGAUCGGCCACACUGGGACUGAGACACGGCCCAGACUCCUACGGGAGGCAGCAGUAGGGAAUCUUCGGCAAUGGACGAAAGUCUGACCGAGCAACGCCGCGUGAGUGAAGAAGGUUUUCGGAUCGUAAAGCUCUGUUGUAAGAGAAGAACGGGUGUGAGAGUGGAAAGCUCACACUGUGACGGUAUCUUACCAGAAAGGGACGGCUAACUACGUG